rnacentral:rRNA from 1 species
GGAAGUUAGGGGCAAUAACAGGUCUGUGAUGCCCUUAGAUGUCCUGGGCCGCACGCGCGCUACACUGACACAUGCAGCGAGUUUUCCUUGUCCGAAAGGUCUGGGUAAUCUUGUAAAUGUGUGUCGUGAUAGGGAUAGAUUAUUGCAAUUAUUAAUCUUGAACGAGGAAUUCCUAGUAAAUGCGGGUCAUCAGCUCGCGUUGAUUACGUCCCUGCCCUUUGUACACACCGCCCGUCGCACCUACCGAUUGAAUGAUUCGGUGAAACUUUCGGACCGUGGAUCCCGUCACUUCGGUGAUGAGAUUCGUGGAAAGUUAUUUAAACCUCAUCAUUUAGAGGAAGGUGAAGUCGUAACAAGGUUUCCGUAGGUGAACCUGCAGAAGGAUCAA